ensembl:lncRNA
GGGUGGGCAGGGCGCAGCGGGCAGGGGCAGUGUGGGGCCUCGGGCCCUCCGCGGUCGAUCGCUGAUCCCCGGGCCCUGCAGGGACGCGGAUUGCUAAGUGCGUUUGUAUAGAUCCCCGGACAGGUAGCCUGGGCCUGAGAGGGGGAGGCAGGGCCAAGGGGGCCUCGGGGGACCUGGGGGGCUGAGUGCAGAUGCGGGUGGGAGAAGUAGCACCAGCCUGCUGGUAGCAUCUGCUCCCUCCCUGCUCCGAGCCUCAGUUUCUCCAUCCGGCGGUGGGGGUGUGCAGUGUGGACCAGGUCUGCAGUGGCGGGGGCCUCCCGGGAGUCCCCUUUCCAGAGGAGCCCACUCCCCGCUCCGAGAGGUCGGCCUGCUGGUGGGGCCACACAGCCUGGAGGGGCCACGCUGCUGGGGGGCCAGUCUUUCCCCAGGGGCCGCCCCCCUCCCCGCGGCGGGCUCUGGGGGAGGCGGGGCGGGGCUGCUGGCCCUUUAAGAGCCUCGUUUUGGCGCCGCCUCGGGUUAUCGAUCGCAGCCUUGGAAACGCGAUUAGAUUAUCCGGCUGGGACCGGCAGGCCGGCGGGGCAGGGGGGUGCGCGGGCUUCUUGUAAACGGCUCCCCGCGGGCAGGUGGCUGGGUGCCCACUGCCUAAACUGCUAAAGGGUUGGCUCUUUUUUUUUUUUAAUAUUUUAUUUAUUUAUUCGUUAGAGACACAGAGAGAGGCAGAGACCCAGGCAGAGGGAGAAGCAGGCUCCCUGCGGGGAGCCCGACGCGGGACUCGAUCCCGGGACCCCGGGGUCACGCCCUGGGCCGAGGCAGACCCACCGCGGAGCCCCCCAGCUGCCUGAGAGGCUGGCUUCUCCUUUACCCGCACCGUGCGGGGGCACAUAGAGGGGACGUAGAGCAAGCGCCCACGCGUCCGUCCUCUGCUCGGGAGCUGCCAUCUCCCCAGCGCCCGGCGAGGGGACCCACCCCUGUCUGCCCACCUCCCGAGCGCCGCCCGCCCCCAUCACGUCCCUCACUCCGCUUGUCUUGAGGAUCGACCUCCCUCCCGUCUGUUCCCCGGUCCAGCCUCACCUUGGGUCUGUUCCACAGUGUGGGUGACACCCGGCAUCUGCCCCCCUCUCGGUGCAACAGACCCCGUGGGGCCCCCGCAACCUCAGCACAGCUCCCCGCUCCUGGCACCCCGGGCACCUGCUCGGAGGCGGCUUCUGGAGGCGCCCGAGAUGCAGGGACCUGAUGGCUGAGCGGCAGCCCCGUGCCCUUGGCCGUGACCACCCCACGGGGUGUCCCCAGUGGCCCCUCGCCUCGAAGACAACCCACCUCACCGAGUGAGCUCCGCUCUUGGCCUCAGCUUCCGGGGAGCCCGCACCGCGACACCACGGUCGGGGUGUCUGAGGCCCGCGCGUGUGAGCAGGGACCGCGGACCUCGUCCUUCCUCGGGACUCUGCCGUUUAAACUCCGUGUGUAGGGGCGCCUGGGGGGCUCCGCAGUGGGGUGUCUGCCUUCGGCUCAGGGCGUGACCCAGGGGUCCCAAUUCGAGUCCCGCAUGGGCUCCUCGCAGGGACCUGCUUCUCCCUCGGCCUGUGUCUCUGCCUCCCUCUGUGUGUCUCAUGAAUAAAUAAAUACAAUGAAAAUAAAAUAAGCUCCGC